UUCAGGAAAUACUUUAAAAACAAAGCUGCCUAAUGAGCUGACUUCUGCUUGACAGGACACAUCAUUCCAACUCCAGUGGAAGCGACUUUGUCCUGCUUUUUGAAAGAGGUGGCAGACAGCAGACAAGGACAAGCUGUGUAUUUCCAUUCUAGUUCUGAGAGUGCUUAGUGGCCUCUGGGGAGGAGGACCCAUGAAAUAUUCAGAGCAGAAGUGAAUAAAACAUAUAGGUUCUAGACACAGGCCAGGAAGAGGCUGGGUCCCGCGAAGCCUCUGAGAUGGGGAAUCUUCUGGAAGAGGCGGCCGCUGCUCCCGGGUCCUCCUGGGACAUCUGUGAAGGAACAAGGCACCCAGUACAGCAGCUUGGCUGAUGGGACGAGCUGGGGACAGCUGGCUGCAGGCCACGCUGCACAUAGGUCCUCACACACUGCUCCACACCACCCACCCUGAGGUGCAGUGGGCCUGGGGACCCUCCUCCGGAGUCCCACCUCUGGGCUCCCUCUGUCACUCAGCAACCCAGAGGGUGGCACAUGGCACUCCAGAGGACCACCUAACACAGCUGAGGAGAGAAGCAGAGGAUCUUCUGAACUCUAACGGAAAGAAUUCUUUAACUUUUUUUUAUCAAAGUUGUGGGAACAGUCCUCCCUGCAGAAUAGUCCUUUUGUAUCUUCAAAGCAGACCUCAAGAUGGGCUUGCUGAGAGUUUUCAAGAUGCAGAAAACUCCGUGGAGUGAAACCCAGGCAGCUUCUCGGCAAGGUGGGUAGCAAAAAGAAAAGGGCGGGACUUUACCGGACUUUAAAACUGGACAUUCAAAGCAGGUUGGGGGCUCACGAGGUUGGAUACAAUAAAAUAAGGAAGGAAUGGCCAGCGGCCAGCUACUGCCACAGCGGGGCCAGAAGCACAGGCCAGAGCAGUCUCUUGGUGAGCACAGGGGAGGGACACUGGAAUUAAAGGAACCAGGCAGGUCUCGGUCCAGAGGUCUAGGGAUCAAGGACGUUGUCUGGCAAGUCUGAAGGACUUGCUGCCCGAUAUCCAAUGGGGGGGAAGAAGCCGCCAUCUCUCCGGGUGGAGUGAGGAGGACAAUACAAAGAACCAUUUUGCAGCUCUUGUUCGGGGUGGCAGCUGAGGCGGCCGGUUCCUGGCAAGCCUGAACUUGCCCUGAAAUUCAGGCCAGUCAUCACCCACUGCAAUACACAGAGUGUGCUUAAGUGACAGGGAAAGUCAAACGGAAAGAGGUCGACACAGGGACAACUGGCUCUACCCUUCCCCCUCCAACCCGACUGCUUGCAGGACCGGCUGGGAGAGACCAUCUGGCAGGGAACUCAGAGUGUCAGGGGCAGGGGAGGUUGUUUAGAGACUGAACCUGAGACCAGGAAACGUGGGGUCCCAAGGUGGCAUAGGGGACUAAGAAUUGAGACCCCGCACAUGGGUG
rnacentral:lncRNA from 1 species